GACGAACGCUGGCGGCGGGCUUAACACAUGCAAGUCGAACGGAAAGGGCCUGCUGUUGGGGUGUGCGCUAGUGGCGAACGGGUGGGUAACAAGUGAGUGGCCUGCCGUUGGCUUUGGGAUAACUUCAGGAAACUGGGGCUGAUACCGGAUAGGAGCUCCGGCUGCAUGGUGGGGGGGGGAAAGUUGCGGCGGGUGGGGAUGGGCGCGCGGCUUAGCAGCGUGUUGGUGGGGUAGUGGGUUACCAAGGCUUUGACGGGUAGCCGGCCUGAGAGGGUGAGCGGCCACAUUGGGACUGAGAUACGGCCCAGACUCCUACGGGAGGCAGCAGUGGGGAAUAUUGCACAAUGGGCGGAAGCCUGAUGCAGCAACGCCGCGUGCGGGAUGACGGCCCUCCGGUUGUAAACCGCUUUCGCCUGUUACGAAGCGUGAGUGACGGUAAUGGGUAAAGAAGCACCGGCUAACUCCGUG
rnacentral:rRNA from 1 species